rnacentral:rRNA from 1 species
AGAGUUUGAUCCUGGCUCAGGAUGAACGCUAGCGAUAGGCUUAACACAUGCAAGUCGAGGGGCAUCACGAGGUAGCAAUACUUUGGUGGCGACCGGCGUACGGGUGCGUAACACGUAUGCAACCUUCCUGUAAGUGUGGGAUAGCCUCCUGAAAGGGAGAUUAAUACCUCAUGAUAUGUAUUUGCUGCAUGGCAUUUACAUUAAACAUUUAUGGCUUACAGAUGGGCAUGCGUUCCAUUAGGCAGUUGGUGUGGUAACGGCUCACCAAACCUACGAUGGAUAGGGGUUCUGAGAGGAAGGUCCCCCACACUGGAACUGAGACACGGUCCAGACUCCUACGGGAGGCAGCAGUGAGGAAUAUUGGUCAAUGGGCGCGAGCCUGAACCAGCCACGUCGCGUGAAGGAUGACGGCCUUAUGGGUUGUAAACUUCUUUUACAGGGGAAUAAAGUGAGUCACGUGUGAUUUUUUGCAUGUACCCUGUGAAUAAGCAUCGGCUAACUCCGUGCCAGCAGCCGCGGUAAUACGGAGGAUGCGAGCGUUAUCCGGAUUUAUUGGGUUUAAAGGGUGCGUAGGCGGGAUAUUAAGUCAGCGGUGAAAGUUUUCGGCUCAACCUUAAAAUUGCCGUUGAAACUGUUAUUCUUGAGUGCAGUAGAGGUAGGCGGAAUUCGUUGUGUAGCGGUGAAAUGCGUAGAUAUAACGAGGAACUCCGAUUGCGUAGGCAGCUUACUAUAUUGCUACUGACGCUGAGGCACGAAAGUGUGGGUAUCAAACAGGAUUAGAUACCCUGGUAGUCCACACAGUAAACGAUGAAUACUAGCUGUUUGCGAUAUAUUGUAAGCGGCCGAGCGAAAGCAUUAAGUAUUCCACCUGGGGAGUACGUCGGCAACGAUGAAACUCAAAGGAAUUGACGGGGGCCCGCACAAGCGGAGGAACAUGUGGUUUAA